rnacentral:rRNA from 1 species
UGGGCUAGAAUGCUGGGAGACCGUGGGUGAAAGCUCACUUUGUAGCAAUACACUGCCAGUAAGGUGCUGCAUGGCUGUCGUCAGCUCGUGCCGUGAGGUGUUGGGUUAAGUCCCGCAACGAGCGCAACCCCCAUCACUAGUUGCCAUCAGGUAACGCUGGGAACUCUAGUGAAACUGCCGUCGUAAGACGUGAGGAAGGAGGGGAUGAUGUCAAGUCAUCAUGGCCUUUAUGCCCAGGGCUACACACGUGCUACAAUGGGGCGUACAAAGGGCUGCAACACGGUGACGUGAAGCUAAUCCCAAAAAACGCCUCUCAGUUCAGAUUGAAGUCUGCAACUCGACUUCAUGAAGCGGGAAUCGCUAGUAAUCGUAUAUCAGCAAUGAUACGGUGAAUGCGGGCCCGGACC